rnacentral:lncRNA from 1 species
GAGAAGAAAGAGUUUCGAUUGACUUUGGCGAAGAUUGUACAAGUAAUCGAAAGUGAGAUCAAAUCCAUCGAUCCAUUCACGGGAUCACUCCCGGGUCAGUGAAAAAGGAACUCCUCUCUUUUCUCUUUUUCUCUUUUUCUAGUCACUCGAGUGGCAAGUUGCUAUGGCCAGUGCUCUUGGUGUCAGGGUUGGAGACGUCGCUGGUCGAGAUUUGGAGUUCUCCUUCAUCCUCGAUCUCGAUUCUUUCGUUCUGCAGCGAUCGAUCCAGCUAAAGAUCAAACGAUACGAUAGGAGAGAAAAACCAAAAGAGUGUACCUGCGAUUCUUUGAGUGACGAGAAUAAUGUGAUCGCUGUCGCAGCUGCUAUUCCAAAGACUGGCGCGAUGGCUUUGGCCAUGUCCAUGUCUGCUUGUUU